rnacentral:rRNA from 1 species
ACGGGAGGCAGCAGUGGGGAAUAUUGGGCAAUGGGCGAAAGCCUGACCCAGCAACGCCGCGUGAAGGAAGAAGGCCUUCGGGUUGUAAACUUCUUUUACCAGGGACGAAGGACGUGACGGUACCUGGAGAAAAAGCAACGGCUAACUACGUGCCAGCAGCCGCGGUAAUACGUAUGGUGCAAGCGUUAUCCGGAUUUACUGGGUGUAAAGGGAGCGCAGGCGGUUCUGCAAGCCAGAGGUGAAAACCCGGGGCUCAACCCCGUGAUUGCCUUUGGAACUGUAGGACUUGAGUACUGGAGGGGCAGGCGGAAUUCCUGGUGUAGCGGUGAAAUGCGUAGAUAUCAGGAGGAACACCGGUGGCGAAGGCGGCCUGCUGGACAGAAACUGACGCUGAGGCUCGAAAGCGUGGGGAGCAAACAGGAUUAGAUACCCUGGUA